rnacentral:tRNA from 1 species
GCCCUUGUAGUCCAAUGGCAGAGACAGAGGACUUAAAAUCCUUCCAGUGUCGGUUCGAGUCCGACCAAGGGCACCA